AAUUCUUGUAUUUUCUUCAUAAAAGUUCUCUAAUAAUAAAAAAAAAAGUUUAUAGCAAAUUUCAAACUUGUAAAAAGAACAUUUCUGAGUCAGAGUCAGAUGUUGAAGAUUUCUUGGAUUUUCAAAAAAGUGUCACCAACAGACAAUCUCAACUGAUGUAGAGUGGCGCUUUCAGUUCUGGAUGAGCUUAAAGAAACGCUUAAAGAUGAUCUGCAUCAUCUGAUUUGUAGAAAUAAAAGUUUACCCCCAAGAGAUCAAAUUAAUUUUUUUUAUAUUCUUUGGGAGCUGCUUCAUUUUAUCAUGCGAGAUCAUGGUGUUGAAAAACAUUCCAGCAAUCAAGCUGUUCAUGCAGUUUUAAAUAGUUUGUUUUGUCAACGAGAGGAAAUUAUUCAUUAGUCUCAUCCUGUUGACACCCUCCCAGUAUGUUUUAUUCUAUGGCACAGAUUCCAAGUGUGUGUGGUUGCAUCGAUAAAAGUCACAUACCAAUCAUCCCUACAUCAAAAGAUGAAGAUGCAUUUCUCAAUCGCCACCAGUUUUAUUCAUUGAAUGUCCUUUACUUCUGUGGACCAGAUUUGUAUGUUUAUUAUGUUUAUGCUGAUGAAACUGGGCGAUGACAUGAUUCUAGGGUGUUAUGUCAAUCAGCACUUUAGAUUGCUUUUGAGGUCAGGGGUGAGCAAAUUUUUCCUGGAGCAGUUGUCUUAGAUGACUAUGGCUACCCCUGCAACAAUUGGAUCAUCGCACCUUACAGUGACAACCAAACAGCCUCCAAGCGUCGGUUCAAUGACGUGCACCGAAAAAGUAGAAAUAUUACCAAGCGAUGUUUUGGGGUUUUGAAAAACAGGUUUUACUUUCUGCAAGUACCUAUUUGAUUUUCUAAAGUAGAAAAUGCUGCAAAACUUGUUGUGUGUGCUUGUAUGAUUCACAACAUGUGCCUUAAAGUUGGCGAUAUGAAGAUUUUUCAGUUUUACCUGCCACACCUUUGCCCUUUCAAGCUUAAGAUGACACUCAAGCUGAAAUUCAAUCAGGUACUUGCACGGAUCAAAUACUGCAGUUGUUUAACUGAUAUAAAUAAACACAGUUUAUUAAAUUUUAGUUUUAAAAAAAUUAUUAAAUUUUAAACAAAAA